UUGGAAAAAGAGCAGACGCUUCUUCCUCAAACACGACGGCCAGCUUCAGCUGCCGUUCAAGAAUUUUCAAUUGCGCUUCCAAAAUUUGUCUUCCCUUCUCUCCCUCUCUCUUCCUCCCUCCCUCCCUCCCUCCCUCCCUCCAUCCUUUUGGGAAAGACAAUUCAUAAUCUCUCCUCAUCCCGCCCCACCCCCCGAGGUUCGGUUUUCCUACGACUUUUGUUGAUUCAUCCUUGUUGUCGCUCCCUCUCUUUUGAUCAGGGACAUCCACCACUUUCGGCUUUGGUUUCUAUUCUCCCACACAGCUCUCGGCCGUGCAGCUUUGAGGAACACUGGAAGCUGCAAAGGAAAAAAAGAAUUGCCCUCUAGGUGUAUGCAAUUAACAUUUGGACUUGACAUUGUGAUGAAUGUGGCUGAAUAGUGUCACGGUUUCCUACUUUAUUUGAACUGUCUUCAACCCUGCACUUAUCAAUGGGGGAGUGGGUUGUUGGAGCCUUCAUCAACCUUUUCGGCAGCAUAGCAAUCAACUUUGGAACCAACCUCCUUAAAUUGGGUCAUGAUGAGGUGCGCUGGGAUUUCCGCUGUUACCCCUAAACUGCUUGCUAAUUAUUUUUCAUUUCCUUGAUGGGGAUAAUUAGCCAAAUGGAUCAUUCCCCUCGUUCGCAGCAAACAUAUUUGCUGCUCUUUUAAUCAUUUGUAUUAUUAAGUGAAACAAGUAUCAGUUAUUGACCUUGUAUUGUAGUGAUCCAUUUUUGUAUGGCAUGCCAGAAAACCUUCACAUGCAUGCACAAGUGGCAUAUGAUAACAGUGGCAAUGGUAGCAAUUAAUAAUCAUAAAUGCUACGGUCUUAGCAUC